GUAGGUGGCAAGCGUUGUCCGGGAUUAUUGGGCGUAAAGCGCGCGCAGGCGGUUCUUUAAGUCUGAUGUGAAAGCCCACGGGCUCAACCGUGGAGGGUCAUUGGAAACUGGAGAACUUGAGUACAGAAGAGGAAAGCGGAAUUCCACGUGUAGCGGUGAAAUGCGUAGAGAUGUGGAGGAACACCAGUGGCGAAGGCGGCUUUCUGGUCUGUAACUGACGCUGAGGCGCGAAAGCGUGGGGAGCAAACGGGAUUAGAUACCCUGGUAGUCCACGCCGUAAACGAUGAGUGCUAAGUGUUAGGGGGUUUCCGCCCCUUAGUGCUGCAGCUAACGCAUUAAGCACUCCGCCUGGGGAGUACGGCCGCAAAGGCUG
rnacentral:rRNA from 1 species